rfam:Aedes aegypti strain Liverpool supercont1.137 genomic scaffold, whole genome shotgun sequence.
UGCCCAGCAACUCCUAUCCCUACCUCUUCGCGGUACUGGCCAGGGUACAAGUAACCUUAAGGAAGAUCGGGUAACCAACCCCCGGUGGGAACUUUGGUCUUAUGCUGACAGGGAAGG